rnacentral:rRNA from 1 species
UAGCAUAUCAAUAAGCGGAGGAAAAGAAACCAACAGGGAUUGCCCUAGUAACGGCGAGUGAAGCGGCAACAGCUCAAAUUUGAAAUCUGGCGCAUGCCCGAGUUGUAAUUUGUAGAGGAUGCUUCUGGCCGGCGGGCGUUCUAAGUUCCUUGGAACAGGACGUCAUACAGGGUGAGAAUCCCGUAUGUGACCGGCGCGCAACCUUUACGUAGCUCCUUCCACGAAUCGAGUUGUUUGGGAAUGCAUCUCUAAAUGGGAGGUAAAUUUCUUCUAAAGCUAAAUACCGGCCAGAAACCGAUAGCGCACAAGUAGAGUGAUCGAAAGAUGAAAAGCACUUUGGAAAGAGAGUUAAAAAGCACGUGAAAUUGUUGAAAGGGAAGCGCUUGCAACCAGACUUCGUAGCGAUGUUCCGCCGGUCUUCUGACCGGUCUACUCAUCGUCGCGAGGCCAACAUCGUCUGGGACCGCUGGAUAAGACCUAAGGAAUGUAGCUUCCCUCGGGAAGUGUUAUAGCCUGUGGUGAUGCAGCGCGUCUCGGGCGAGGUCCGCGCUUCGGCAAGGAUGUUGGCGUAAUGGUUGUCAGCGGCCCGUCUUGAAACACGGACCAAGGAGUCUAACAUCUAUGCGAGUGUUCGGGUGUCAAACCCCUACGCGUAAUGAAAGUGAACGGAGGUGGGAAGCGCAAGCUGCACCAUCGACCGAUCCUGAUGUCCUCGGAUGGAUUUGAGUAAGAGCAUAGCUGUUGGGACCCGAAAGAUGGUGAACUAUGCCUGAAUAGGGUGAAGCCAGAGGAAACUCUGGUGGAGGCUCGCAGCGGUUCUGACGUGCAAAUCGAUCGUCAAAUUUUGGGUAUUAGGGGCGAAAGACUAAUCUAACCCUCUUGUAACUGGUCCGCC